rnacentral:rRNA from 1 species
UACGAAGGGUGCAAGCGUUAAUCGGAAUUACUGGGCGUAAAGGGUGCGUAGGCGGUUAUUUAAGUCCGCCGUGAAAUCCCCGGGCUCAACCUGGGAAUGGCGGUGGAUACUGGAUAGCUAGAGUGUGUCAGAGGAUGGUGGAAUUCCCGGUGUAGCGGUGAAAUGCGUAGAGAUCGGGAGGAACAUCAGUGGCGAAGGCGGCCAUCUGGGACAACACUGACGCUGAAGCACGAAAGCGUGGGGAGCAAACAGG